rnacentral:rRNA from 1 species
GACGAACGCUGGCGGCGUGCCUAAUACAUGCAAGUAGAACGCACAGUUUAUACCGUAGCUUGCUACACCAUAGACUGUGAGUUGCGAACGGGUGAGUAACGCGUAGGUAACCUGCCUGGUAGCGGGGGAUAACUAUUGGAAACGAUAGCUAAUACCGCAUAAUAUUGAUUAUUGCAUGAUAAUUGAUUGAAAGAUGCUAUUGCAUCACUACCAGAUGGACCUGCGUUGUAUUAGCUAGUAGGUGAGGUAACGGCUCACCUAGGCGACGAUACAUAGCCGACCUGAGAGGGUGAUCGGCCACACUGGGACUGAGACACGGCCCAGACUCCUACGGGGGGCAGCAGUAGGGAAUCUUCGGCAAUGGACGAAAGUCUGACCGAGCAACGCCGCGUGAGUGAAGAAGGUUUUUGGAUCGUAAAGCUCUGUUGUAAGAGAAGAACGGGUGUGAGAGUGGAAAGUUCACACUGUGACGGUAUCUUACCAGAAAGGGACGGCUAACUACGUG